AGGCUGCAACUCGCCUGCAUGAAGUCGGAAUUGCUAGUAAUCGCGGAUCAGCAUGCCGCGGUGAAUACGUUCCCGGGCCUUGUACACACCGCCCGUCACACCAUGGGAGUCGGUAACACCCGAAGCCGAUAGUCUAACGAAAGAGGACGUCGUCGAAGGUGGGAUUGAUGACUGGGGUGAAGUCGUAACAAGGUAUC
rnacentral:rRNA from 1 species